AAAUCCGUUGGUUUUAUAGAUCG
rnacentral:tRNA from 3 species